GGAGGAGUCGCAUAGUAGGUCCAUUGCGGGAGUUUGCUAAAUUCCUGAGCUGAAUAAGCUCGCGUGGGUUCGAAUCCCACCUCCUCCG
rnacentral:tRNA from 1 species